CCGAUAAAUGGAAUUGUUAUCGCCCAGACGAAAAGGAUCAUUAAUGAUUGGUGGCUGUUGCUGACUAGUGUUUCUAGUAUGUGCACGCCACACCUUCAAUCCCACUUACACCUGUGCACCUUCUGUAAUAGAUCUAUGUGGAUACGGAGAUGUGAAAGUUUGCGCUCUCCUACUCUGUUGAAGCAGAGCUCUACUACGUUUUUUUUACACACACACACCAAUAGUCCUUGAAUGUAUUUUUUUUAUUCUUAUGAUAAAAACAACUUUCAACAACGGAUCUCUUGGCUCUCGCAUCGAUGAAGAACGUAGCGAAUUACGAUAUGUAAUGUGAAUUGCAGAAUUUCAGUGAAUCAUCCAAUCUUUGAACGCACCUUGCGCCUCUUUGGUAUUCCGAAAAACAUGCCUGUUUGAAUGUCAUGAAUCUCUCAAAUGGCAAUGAUUUUUAAUAAUUGGUGUGUUUGGACUUGGAAGUCUUGCCGGCGCAAGUCCACUCCUCUUAAAUGCAUUAGCUGGGGUUUAUAUAGUUGGAUCCUUGGUGUGAUAAUUAUCCACGCCUUGAAGUCCCUGUAGACUCCGCUUCAAAUCGUCUCCUAGAGAACAACAUUUGAAUCAUCUGACCUCAAAUCAGGUAGGACUACCCGCUGAACUUAGGCAUAUCAUAGGCGGAGGA
rnacentral:rRNA from 1 species